rnacentral:rRNA from 1 species
GAUGAACGCUGGCGGCGUGCCUAAUACAUGCAAGUCGAACGAAAAGAUCAGGAUCUUGCGCCUCUGACGUUAGCGGCGGACGGGAGAGUAACACGUGUAUAACCUACCUAUAAGACUGGGAUAACUUCGGGAAACCGGAUCUAAUACCGUAUAAUAUAUUGAACCUCGUUGUGCAAUGGUGAGAUACGGUUUUGGUGUCACUUAUAGAUGGAUACGGGCCGCAUUAGCUAGUUGGUAAGGUAAAGGCUUACCAAGGCAACGAUGCGUAGCCGACCUGAGAGGGUGAUCGGCCACCUGGGAACUGAGACACGGUCCAGACUCCUACGGGAGGCAGCAGUCGGGAAUCUUACGCAAUGGGGGAAAGCCUGACGGAGCAAAGCGGGGUGAGUGAUGAAGGUCCUCGGAUCGGAAAGCCCUGUUAGUAGUGAAGAACAAAUGUGUAAGUAACCAUGACGGUAUUGACGGUACCGAAUCAGAAAGCCCCGGCUAACUACGUG